rnacentral:rRNA from 1 species
UACAGAGGGUGCAAGCGUUGUUCGGAAUUAUUGGGCGUAAAGAGCUCGUAGGCGGUUUGUUGCGUCGGCUGUGAAAUCCCGAGGCUCAACCUCGGGUCUGCAGUCGAUACGAGCAAACUAGAGUGUUGCAGGGGAGACUGGAAUUCCUGGUGUAGCGGUGAAAUGCGCAGAUAUCAGGAGGAACACCGGUGGCGAAGGCGGGUCUCUGGGCAACAACUGACGCUGGAGGAGCGAAAGCGUGGGGAGCGAACAGG